rnacentral:rRNA from 1 species
AGUGAACGCUGGCGGUAGGCCUAACACAUGCAAGUCGAACGGCAGCACAGUAAGAGCUUGCUCUUACGGGUGGCGAGUGGCGGACGGGUUCGGCAUACAUCGGAAUCUACUUUUUCGUGGGGGAUAACGUAGGGAAACUUACGCUAAUACCGCAUACGACCUACGGGUGAAAGCAGGGGAUCUUCGGACCUUGCGCGAUUGAAUGAGCCGAUGUCGGAUUAGCUAGUUGGCGGGGUAAAGGCCCACCAAGGCGACGAUCCGUAGCUGGUCUGAGAGGAUGAUCAGCCACACUGGAACUGAGACACGGUCCAGACUCCUACGGGAGGCAGCAGUGGGGAAUAUUGGACAAUGGGCGCAAGCCUGAUCCAGCCAUACCGCGUGGGUGAAGAAGGCCUUCGGGUUGUAAAGCCCUUUUGUUGGGAAAGAAAAGCAGCAGGUUAAUACCCCGCUGUUAUGACGGUACCCAAAGAAUAAGCACCGGCUAACUUCGUG